GCAUUUUACUUGUCUACACUUUGAAUGAAAUACAGUAUCAAUGCAUAGUAACUUUUCUGCACUCGUGAAUGAAACAUUACCGCCAAUAUAGAACUGUGAUGUCAUGUUUGACAAAUCCAUUAGAGUAACUUGAUCUUAUGCUAUCAUCAUGGCUGCCUGCAGGAAUAAUGUAAGUAUGCAGAUGUUCUUUUACAGAUUGUUAUUAUAUAUGGGUGAUUAUUAUACAAUAAUGUUCUCAAAACUUUGAAAUGAAAAUUUGAAAGCAAAUUAAUGGCAAUUUCCUUGUACUACAGACAUCCUCCUGCUGAUGUUCUAACUCCAUGAUAUGGCUGUCUCCUAUAUUAUUUGUGAAGAUGAAUAGAACCAUGCAGUUUAUCGGCUCAAGUUAAGGAACAUCUGAGCAGCAUUUUGCGAAAACGGGCUUUUGAAGUUAUCAACGAGGUCAGAACUAGAGAACUAAACUGGAACUGAACUAAAGAUAGUGACCAAACGCAUUUAUUGUGAUUCGUUCUUCAUCUGAGUUGGAAAGGGGAUGAAUAUAGGAGUAAAGAAAACAAAUGAAGAAGUUUGAAGGGAUGUGGAAGUAUAUAGAUAGACUAUAAAAAACAUUUGAAAAUUUGAAUAUUAAUUAUAUUUCUGUGAGAAAACAAUAAAGAUUAGACUUAC